UGUCUCAAAAAAAAAAAAAAAAUUUGAUUUCUACUAUGCUUAUGGGAUAGAUGAAAAGUGCCAUGAUCUGAAGGGGGAGGACUUUUCGGUGUCUUCCUCCUAUAUGAAGUGGCUCAACAGAAGAAA